UUCCAAUACAGUUUUACUGCUUUGCAGGACAAACUAGAAUUGAGAUGUAAAGAAAAUUGUAAGCGUGAUUGGUGUUUUGGAUAGCUCUCUCAGUUGGCAAUAUUGAAUCUUUAAUUCUUCAAAAAAUGGAUCAUAAAAUCGUGAAAAAUGAUAAUCCAUCAUGGCCAGAAUCUCACUAUGAGUCCUAUAAGCACUCUCAAAGAGCUUUACUGCGCCAGAGCCUCUCAUUGAGCACCCAAUACUACUUCAAGCUUGGGACAAACACCCCUAAACUGAGUGUCUCUGAAAGACCAUGGGGUGUGGACAGUGAGAAGAAAUGCAAGUGGAAAUGUCUCAGGAGUUCUAGAAAUGUACCCCAAAGAUCAGCUGACUGCAAGACAAAGAAGCAGAACUUUUCUCUUUGUUCUGCUAUAAUUGAGUGUCGGGCAAUGCUGAAGGGAAAGAAAGACCACAAAGUGAUUAGACAUCCUGUAGCCAAAAACCAUGAAUACGCAGUGGACGAUUCCUCUCUUCAGGGUCCUUCCAGGAAUAAGUUUAAAGGAGAUAUGACACAUCCCCAUGUCUUUGGGUUGACGAUCAUUGAGCCUCAGCACUGUGGUGGACACCAAAGCAACCCAGUGACAAUGGCCAUCCCCUUCAUGCAAGAUGAACCCACAAAGGCUAAGAAAUGUCCCUUGAUGGCACACUCUGGAUUAACCCUUUCUGUGGAAGAUUCCACUUUUGAAGAUCUACCCAAGAAGUUCAAAAGUGAUUACAUUGAUAAAGUGUCAAUGCUUGCCCCGCUCUGGCAACAGCAAACCAUAGAUGACAUGAAGAGGAGAGCUCAGAGGGAAUGCCAAGAGGCUCCAGUGUACUGGCUUACAGAGCAGACAGUCAAGUGCUCCAAAUUUACAAACAACUAGACAGAAUGUAACGCUUCUAGCUCCUCUUGCUUAUUGAAUAACUGUGAAUGGUCAAGAGUAAAGUCAAUGUCCAAAAAAAAAAAAAAAAAUUAACUGCCAGUGGUUCUGUGCUAUGUUGCAUUGGAAGGGGCCUUCAAAUAACAUGAAUAUUCUUUUAUACAGAUAUAAAUGUCAAC
ensembl:lncRNA